GAGUUUGAUCUUGGCUCAGAACGAACGCUGGCGGCAUGCCUAACACAUGCAAGUCGAACGCCCCGCAAGGGGAGUGGCGCACGGGUGAGUAACGCGUGGGAAUCUGCCUAGCAGUGGGGAAUAACCAAGGGAAACUUUGGCUAAUACCGCAUACGCCCUUCGGGGAAGGAUUUAUUGCUGCUAGAUGAGCCCGCCGUCCGAUUAGCUAGUUGGUGAGGUAACGGCUCACCAAGGCGACGAUCGGUAGCUGGUCUGAGAGGAUGAUCAGCCACACUGGGACUGAGACACGGCCCAGACUCCUACGGGAGGCAGCAGUGGGGAAUAUUGGACAAUGGGGGAAACCCUGAUCCAGCAAUGCCGCGUGAAUGAUGAAGGCCUUAGGUUGUAAGUUCUUUCGCCCACGACGAUGAUGACGGUAGUGGGAGAAGAAG
rnacentral:rRNA from 1 species